rnacentral:rRNA from 1 species
GACGAACGCUGGCGGCGUGCCUAAUACAUGCAAGUUGAGCGCUGAAGGUUGGUACUUGUACCAACUGGAUGAGCAGCGAACGGGUGAGUAACGCGUGGGGAAUCUGCCUUUGAGCGGGGGACAACAUUUGGAAACGAAUGCUAAUACCGCAUAAAAACUUUAAACACAAGUUUUAAGUUUGAAAGAUGCAAUUGCAUCACUCAAAGAUGAUCCCGCGUUGUAUUAGCUAGUUGGUGAGGUAAAGGCUCACCAAGGCGAUGAUACAUAGCCGACCUGAGAGGGGGAUCGGCCAAAAUGGGAAUGAGACAAGGCCCAAACUACUACGGGAGGCAGCAGUAGGGAAUCUUCGGCAAUGGACGAAAGUCUGACCGAGAAACGCCGCGUGAGUGAAGAAGGUUUUCGGAUCGUAAAACUCUGUUGGUAGAGAAGAACGUUGGUGAGAGUGGAAAGCUCAUCAAGUGACGGUAACUACCCAGAAAGGGACGGCUAACUACGUG